rnacentral:tRNA from 1 species
GGGGAUUUAGCUCACGGGUAGAGCGCUCCCUUAAUGUGGGUGAGGGCUGGGGUUCAAUUCCCCAUAUCUCCA